CCAUAUAGUGUUGGGUUCCAGUCACAUAACGAAAAGUAAUUUUUAAAAAUUUUAAAAUCAUACAAAUCAAUAGCUCUAUCAAAUAAAACAAUCGAGCUGGAAUCCAAACCCUAGAAUCACCUCGCCAAUAUCGAUAAAACAAAAACAAGCAUGCAAAAAGGGAUAGAAUUUUAUACUUUCAUCAAAAUAAAAAAGUGACAUGUUGGUGUUCUCCACA
rnacentral:lncRNA from 1 species